GCUGAAAUAUGACAACACAAUACAUUUAAUCCAGCCACUGAACCAGCAACAUGCAACGACUCCAGCUAGACACCAUCAACUUGUAUAGAACAAAAUAAUGUUAGAGGAAGAACAAGACUUGAGUUAGUUAUACAAAUUCUACCUUAGGCAUCAUCCAUUAUCCAGGGUAAGAAUAGCGACAGCUUGAAGAUGACCAAUCAUGUCCACAUAUUAUCAAGUUAAAAAUACAAGGAAUUGUACCUCCAUAAACAUUCAAGCACAGGAGCAACUGUAAAUGUACACAAUAAAAUACCAUCACAUUUCCAGA